rnacentral:rRNA from 1 species
CCUACGGGUGGCAGCAGUGGGGAAUAUUGGGCAAUGGGCGCAAGCCUGACCCAGCAACGCCGCGUGAAGGAAGAAGUCUCUCGGUUUGUAAACUUCUUUUAUCCGGGACGAAACAAAUGACGGUACCGAAUGAAGAAGCCACGGCUAACUACGUGCCAGCAGCCGCGGUAAUACGUAGGGGGCAAGCGUUAUCCGGAUUUACUGGGUGUAAAGGGCGCGUAGGCGGGGGAGUAAGUCAGACGUGAAAUGCCGGGGCUCAACCCCGGAACUGCGUUGGAAACUGUUCUUCUUGAGUGCAGGAGAGGCAGGCGGAAUGCCGUGUGUAGCGGUGAAAUGCGUAGAUAUACGGAGGAACACCAGUGGCGAAGGCGGCCUACUGGACAUUAACUGACGCUGAGGCGCGAAAGCGUGGGGAGCAAACAGGAUUAGAUACCCUUGUAGUC